rnacentral:rRNA from 1 species
GGUGGGUGAGGAGAGUAUCCUAAGGCCAGCGAGAGAACUGUUGUUAAGGAACUCGGCAAAAUGACCCCGUAACUUAGGGAUAAGGGGUGCCACCAUCCGGUGGCCGCAGAGAAUAGGCCCAAGCGACUGUUUACCAAAAACAUAGGUUUCUGCUAAGUCGCAAGACGAUGUAUAGGAGCUGACGCCUGCCCGGUGCUGGAAGGUUAAGGGGAUCUGUUAGAGCAAUCGAAGCAGUGAACUUAAGCCCCAGUAAACGGCGGCCGUAACUAUAACGGUCCUAAGGUAGCGAAAUUCCUUGUCGGGUAAGUUCCGACCCGCACGAAAGGCGUAACGAUUUGGGCACUGUCUCAACAACAGACUCGGUGAAAUUGUAAUUCCGGUGAAGAUGCCGGAUACCUGCGACAGGACGGAAAGACCCCAUGGAGCUUUACUGUAGCUUGACAUUGGGUCUUGGUACUACAUGUACAGGAUAGGUGGGAGGCUUUGAAACCAGGACGCCAGUUUUGGCGGAGCCAUCCUUGGGAUACCACCCUUGUAGUACUGGGACUCUAACCAUAGGCCAUGAAUCUGGUCUUGGGACACUGUCAGGUGGGCAGUUUGACUGGGGCGGUCGCCUCCCAAAAGGUAACGGAGGCGCUCAAAGGUUCUCUCAGUACGGUCGGAAAUCGUACGUAGAGUGUAAAGGCAAAAGAGAGCUUGAUUGCAAGACAUACAGGUCGAGCAAGGAUGAAAAUCGGACUUAGUGAUCCGGUGGUUCUGCGUGGAAGGGCCAUCGCUCAACGGAUAAAAGCUACCCUGGGGAUAACAGGCUUAUCUCCCCCAAGAGUCCACAUCGACGGGGAGGUUUGGCACCUCGAUGUCGGCUCAUCACAUCCUGGGGCUGUAGUAGGUCCCAAGGGUUGGGCUGUUCGCCCAUUAAAGUGGUACGCGAGCUGGGUUCAGAACGUCGUGAGACAGUUCGGUCCCUAUCCGUCGCAGGCGUAGGAAAUUUGAGAAGACCUGUCCUUAGUACGAGAGGACCGGGAUGGACG